CGCCUUCGGCGUCCGCAUUGUAAUCUCAAGAAGUGUUUUCCGCUUCGGACCAUGCCUAAGUCCCUUGGAAAAGGGCAUCAUAGAGGGUGAUAAUCCCGUACAUGGCAUGGAGCGCCCGAGGCUUUGUGAUACGCUUUCUAAGAGUCGAGUUGUUUGGGAAUGCAGCUCAAAAUGGGUGGUAAAUGCCAUCUAAGGCUAAAUAUUGGGGAGAGACCGAUAGCGAACAAGUACAGUGAUGGAAAGAUGAAAAGAACUUUGAAAAGAGAGUUAAACAGUACGUGAAAUUGCCAAAAGGGAAGGGUAGGAGGUCAGAGAUGCGUCUUGGGAUUCAGCCUUGCUUUUGCUUGGUGUUUUUCCCAAGUUGCAGGCCAACGUCGGUUUUGGGCACUGGAGAAGGGUGGAAGGAACGUGGCACCUCUCGGGGUGUGUUAUAGCCUUCUACUGGAUACAGCGACCGAGACCGAGGACAGCAGCGUACUCGCAAGAGCGGGCCUUCGGGCACCUUUACG
rnacentral:rRNA from 1 species